AAAUAGGACACAUUAUUUUCAGAGCAGCGCUCAUAGUGGACAUCUCUCUGAGUGUACAUACAUUGGACAAAGAUGUUAAGAUUUGCUUGCAGGAAUCCUUAAGAGCCCAAAUCCUUUCACUUCUGCACAGCAAGUGAUGCCAGUGAUGUACAUUUAAUUUAGCAACAGAAUCUCAAUUAAAAAAAAUGACCUUCAGAGCAGUUGAGGAUAAAGCUGUUGAAAUGCUUUGAAAUGUAGUGACUGGAAUCUGGAGGCAUGCCCUGGAAAAUAAAAAGACCUUAAUUUUCAAAAGUUAAUUUCUGUUCUUCUUCUCUGUAAAGUUUUCAAGUCUGUGGCAAAAGGUCACUGGCUCUAGAGCAGAACUCACCCAUGAAAGCUGUUUGGAAUCAGUGAAAGAAGAGCGCAGUAUGCAGAUAAGCCCAGCAUCCGUGCGGGCAGGCUGAGGAAGGACGUUUGCUCGAGUGCUAGGGGACACAAAAAUACGAAGCUCACAAAGAGCUGCUGCUGCUUGCUGUGGGAAGAAGCAUAUCGGUAGUGUUACAAGGUGGAUUAAAACUUUUAAAGGCAAAGAAAAAGCUGUCUUGCCAAAGUAAAUGAAAUUUAAACUCACCGAGGAGCAAUGGGAGAAAAGGAAGAG
rnacentral:lncRNA from 1 species